GGCAGGCUUGGCCCUCUCUUCAAAGGGCCUUCAUUUCUCUGUGAAAAAGGCACUCAACAAAGAAGCAGGACCAGGGGAGUUGGAGAGUUUGAGAAUGCAAGAGGGGGAACGUGACCUAAGGAAUUCCUGGCUGAGCUGCCCAGCCUUCUGAUUCUUAACCGAUGGUCCAGCUGGGUGUUCUCGGAGCCCCGCUCCUCUCAGGCGCAGCACGUGACACACCUUCGUCGGAGACCUGCUGCUGAUUUCCUUGAGAUAAUGGAAGUGACCAGAUGUGACCCACUGUCGACCCCAGUUACUGUCCUCCAGGAGAGCAGCGACCCUGAGCCCCUGGGCUUGUCCAGAUCCUGCCUGACCCCUGACAGCCCCAGGACUUUUGCAAUCUCUCCAUCCACCUUCUCCAGGCCUCAUUUGGCUGUGACACCCCAGCUGCUUAUCAAUCAUGAUAUUUAGGAUGUACUGAUGCUGACCCUUAUCCCCACCUUUGGUGGAGUUCCCAAGGCCCUGCAGUGUGUCCCCCUGCUCUUUCCCUUCCCGGCUGCUCAGGUCAAAUGUCUGAGCACCACCCUCGUUUUCCUCUGGUGCUCACACUCCACACCAGGUCACCAACAUCACCACACCCCACCAAGCUGAUUCCCCACCCUCGCCCAGUCCAACCUUGAACGUGUCCUCUGGGACUGCGCCACCCAGUAGCCAGAGCAGCCCUUGGGCAACAACCAGCUCCUACCACUGAGGCAGUUCAGCCUCCUCCACAGGCCUGGCCCACCUCCCUCCCUUGGCUUCCCCAGGCCUGAACGGUCUGACCUUGCCCUCACCUGCACCCAACCCACUAAUGCCAGCCCCCUGCCUCAUUCCAGACACACCUCACUCCCCUCCACACUGGUUCCUUUGCCUGGACAGCCUUUGCAAGGUCCUGUUCCAAUGACCUCUCCUCAGACAUACCUUACUGACGGUCCGCUUUCAUGGCUGGAAUAUAAGCCCCAUGAGGGCAUGAACUUUGUUGGAUUCAUCACAGAACUGUUGGCGCCUGGCAGAUUUUCAGUCUGUGUUGGAAGGCUGGUUGGGGAGGGAAAG